rnacentral:tRNA from 1 species
AAGUUAUAGCUUAUUAAAAGUUUUUUAUUUACAUUAAAAAGAAAAUUGUGUAAUUCAGUUUAAUUUGAA